GAUGAACGCUGGCGGCGUGCCUAAUACAUGCAAGUCGAGCGAACAGACGAGGAGCUUGCUCCUUUGACGUUAGCGGCGGACGGGUGAGUAACACGUGGAUAACCUACCUAUAAGACUGGGAUAACUUCGGGAAACCGGAGCUAAUACCGGAUAACAUGUUGAACCGCAUGGUUCAACAGUGAAAGACGGUCUUGCUGUCACUUAUAGAUGGAUCCGCGCCGCAUUAGCUAGUUGGUAAGGUAACGGCUUACCAAGGCAACGAUGCGUAGCUGGCCUGAGAGGACGAUCAGCCACACUGGAACUGAGACACGGCCCCGAGGACGAAGGGAGGCAGCAGGGGGGAAGUUUGGACAAUGGGCGAAAGCCGGAUCCAGCAAUGCCGCGGGAAGGAAGAAGGUCUUCGGGUUGUAAACUGCUUUUGUACAGAACGAAAAGGAUCUGGCUAAUACCUGGGGCACAUGACGGUACCGGAAGAAGAAGCACCGGCUAACUACGUG
rnacentral:rRNA from 1 species